AAAUGUGGGGCAGAUGGGGGGUAGAUAUGGGGCAGAGAGGGGGCAAAAUGUGGCUCUAUGGGGCAGGGAUCUAUGGGGAAGAGAUCUAUGGGGCAGGGCUCUAUGGGGCAAUGGGGCUCUAUGGGGCAAUGGGGCUCUAUGGGGCAGGGAUAUGUGGGGCAGAUAUGGGGCAGGGCUCUAUGGGGCAAUGGGGCUCUAUGGGGCAAUGUGGCUCUAUGGGGCAGGGAUAUAGGGGGAAGGGCUCUAUGGGCCAGGGCUCUAUGGGGCAGGGAUCUAUGGGGUAAUGGGGAUCUAUGGGGCAGGGCUCUAUGGGGCUGGGAUCUAUGGGGUAAUGGGGAUCUAUGGGGCAGGGCUCUAUGGGGCAAUGGGGCUCUAUGGGGCAGGGAUAUAGGGGGAAGGGCUCUAUGGGCCAGGGCUCUAUGGGGCAGGGAUCUAUGGGGUAAUGGGGAUCUAUGGGGCAAUGGGGCUCUAUGGGGCAGGGCUCUAUAGGGCAAUGGGGCUCUAUGGGGCAAUGGGGCUCUAUGGGGCAGUGGGGCUCUAUGGGGCAAUGGGGCUCUAUGGGGCAGGGAUAUGUGGGGCAGGGAUAUGUGGGUCAGGGCUCUAUGGAGCAGAUAUGGGGCAAUGGGGCUCUAUGGGGCAGGGCUCUAUGGGGCAGGGAUCUAUGGGGCAGGACUCUAUGGGGCAGUGGGGCUCUAUGGGGCAGUGGGGCUCUAUGGGGCAGUGGGGCUCUAUGGGGCAGGGCUCUAUGGGGCAAUGGGGAUCUAUGGGGCAGGGAUAUGUGGGGCAAUGGGGAUCUAUGGGGCAGGGAUAUGUGGGGCAAUGGGGAUCUAUGGGGCAGGGAUAUGUGGGGCAAUGGGGCUCUAUGGGGCAAUGGGGCUCUAUGGGGCAGGAAUCUAUGGGGCAGGGCUCUAUGGGGCAAUGGGGCUCUAUGGGGCAGGGCUCUAUGGGGCAAUGGGGCUCUAUGGGGCAGGAAUCUAUGGGGCAAUGGGGAUCUAUGGGGCAGGGAUAUGUGGGGCAGGGAUCUAUGGGGCAAUGGGGCUCUAUGGGGCAAUGGGGCUCUAUGGGGCAAGGCUCUAUGGGGCAGGGCUCUAUGGGGAAGAGAUCUAUGGGGCAAUGGGGCUCUAUGGGGCAAUGGGGCUCUAUGGGGCAGGGAUAUGUGGGGUAGGGCUCUAUGGGGAAGAGAUCUAUGGGGCAGGGCUCUAUGGGGCAGGGAUCUAUGGGGAAGAGGUCUAUGGGGCAAUGGGGCUCUAUGGGGCAGGGAUUUAUGGGGCAGGGAUCUAUGGGGCAGAUAUGGGGCAAUGGGGCUCUAUGGGGCAGUGGGGCUGUAUGGGGCAAUGGGGCUCUAUGGGGCAGGGCUCUAUGGGGCAGUGGGGCAGGAUCUAUGGGGCAGACACUGACCUUUGCUGCUGGCUAUGGGGCUGGCUGCCCCCCACGUGUUCGGGGCCGUCCCCCAUCUCGUCCCUCAGUUCCCUCAAUAGGGCCGAGCUCAGAGCGCGGCGACGGGCGGCUUGUAGGGCACGGCUAUGGGGCGAGGAGGCAUCGGGGGCUGCGGGUAUGGGGGGAUAUGGGGUUAUAUGGGGUAAUAUGGGGGGGAUGAAUGGGGCGAUAUGGUGAGUUUAUAUGGGUUUAUAAGUGGGAUAUGGGGGGAGUGGUGCAGAAUAUGGGUUAGAGAGAGAAUAAUGGGGGAUAUGGGGAGAAUGGGUUAAUAUGGGGUUAUAUGGGUAUAUGGGUGGGAUAGGGCAAUUUGAUAUGGGUUAUAGUUGGGUAUAAUGGGUAUAGUGGGUUAUAUUGGGGUCUUAUGGGGGGAUAUAUGGGGGGAUAUGGGGGAUGCUGUUAUAGUGGGGUGUCUCUAGGGUCUAUGGGGUGUCUAUGGGUGUCAUAUGGGGGUGGCUUUGGGGGGGAUAUUUGUGGGUAUGGGGUGGCAAUGGGCCUAUGGGCAUAUUGGGUGUCUAUGGGGGCUGAAAUUGGGGGGCUUAUGGGGCCAUAUGGGUGGGAUAGUGGGGUUACUAUGGGGUGUUAUAUGGGGGCGAUAUGGGGCAGAUAUGGGGUUAUAAUGGGGGGAUAUGGCAGAUUGGGGUUAUUAUGGGGGGGAUUGGGUGAUAUGGGGGGAUAUGGGCGAUAUGGGGUUAUAUUGGUGGGGAUAUGGGGAGAUAUGGGGUUAUAUAGGGGGAUUACUGGGUGCAAGAUAUGGGUUUAUAUGGGGUUAUAUGGGGGGAUAUGGGCAGAUAUGGGUUAUAUGGGGU
rnacentral:lncRNA from 1 species